rnacentral:rRNA from 1 species
CGUGGAAGCGCUGUAAACCAGGACGGGCGGUCCAACGGAUUCACCGCACCCAAUGGACUGUCGCAGCAGGCGGUGAUUCGGAGUGCGCUUGCAUCGGCGGGGCUCAGUCCGCUCGAUGUGGAUGCCGUGGAGUGCCAUGGCACCGGCACGUCCCUCGGAGAUCCGAUCGAGGUCGAGUCUCUUGCGACUGUGUACGGCGCAGAGCGUCCGGAGGGUCGUCCGCUCCACAUCGGGUCCAUCAAGACGAACAUCGGGCACUGUGAAGGCGCGGCGGGGAUCGCGGGCGUCCUCAAGGCGAUCCUCUCGUUGCAGCAUGGUGUGAUUCCCAAGACGCUGCACUGCGACCCCCCCAGUCCGCAUAUUCCCUGG